rnacentral:rRNA from 1 species
GAUGAACGCUGGCGGCGUGCUUAAUACAUGCAAGUCGAACGAUCUGCAGGAGGGCAACUUUCUGCAGGGAGUGGCGAACGGGUGAGUAACACGUGGAAAACCUACCCUGGGGAUUGGGAUAACGUUUCGAAAGGAACGCUAAUACCGGAUAAGCUCACGGUGGCGCAUGCCACAGGGAGAAAAGGUGGCCUCUGCUUGCAAGCUACUACCUCAGGAUGGUUCCGCGGUCCAUUAGCUAGUUGGUGAGGUAACGGCUCACCAAGGCGACGAUGGAUAGCCGGCUUGAGAGGGCGACCGGCCACACUGGAACUGAGACACGGUCCAGACUCCUACGGGAGGCAGCAGUAGGGAAUUUUGGGCAAUGGGCGAAAGCCUGACCCAGCGACGCCGCGUGAGUGAUGAAGGUCUUUGGAUUGUAAAGCUCUUUCGUAAGGGAAGAAGGUUGUGACGAAGAAACGCGUUGCAAUCUAACGGUACCUUAAGAAGAAGCCCCGGCUAAUUACGUGCCAGCAGCCGCGGUAAUACGUAAGGGGCAAGCGUUAUCCGGAAUUAUUGGGCGUAAAGGGCGUGCAGGUGGUGGUGCAUGUCGAAUGUGAAAACACAGGGCUCAACUCUGUGAUUGCAUUCGAAACUGCAUCACUAGAGUGCUGGAGAGGAAGACGGAAUUCCUAGUGUAGCGGUGAAAUGCUUAGAUAUUAGGAAGAACACCCGUGGCGAAGGCGGUCUUCUGGACAGC